CAAACCAGUCCCUGAGAUCUUGUCGUCAGGAACAUAGAGGUAUAUAUUAACAUAGAGGGAGCCUACCUUCCGCGCUUCCUGACGACAAGAUCUCAUGGACUGGUUUGCUGCAUCUCUUUCUAACACAUUGUAUCGACAAUCUAUGAUGACAUUCAGUGUGAAUAUAGGCACGGAAGAGGAGGACAACUGUAGCAGCUUUACUAUGCGUAAGAGUGAAACAGCACUAAUCCAAAUAAAAAAGAUGGUGUCGUCACUUCGCUCUGAAUGACACUCUCUCUAUGCUAAUAUAUAACUCUAUGGUCAGGAAGCGCGGAAGGUAGGCUCCCUCUAUGUUAAUAUAUACCUCUAUGGGUGAGACGGGGCCUUGGCGGUUCAAGGGAUCGUACAAAUGUGUCGUCUUGGAACGAACCUAAUGUAUAUUCCCUAUGUACAGCAGAACGAUUUACGUACUGUAUUAUGAAUCAGUAGAAACGGAAACGAUUAUAAAUAUUUAAAUUUGGUAAAUUAUAACUCCACUCGACCAGCCCACGACCACACAACUCGAAAUACACGUACGCAAAUACGGUUGCGUGGCUCGAAGCCGUGGAAUUUACGAGACUCGCUCGGUCUGUAGAUCCUUGUGUCAAAUUGUGUAAAAAAAAUCAAAAGUCAAAGCAAAAGGCAAGGAAGGAAAAAGCGAAAAGCAAAGUGUUAAAUUAAAAUAUUAGGGCGCUGGCGGUAUGAUGUGGUGUGGAAUGUGGGCUAUAUAAAUUAAACUAAGUGAUUAUUAGUAUAGCUAAAAGAAGCUUUUGAUUUUACUUUUUGGAUGUAUAUGUAAAUUCAAAUAUGGAUAUAAAUCAAGAAACCAGUGAGAAAACUUGUAAAAUAGAACUAGAAGAGACGUGUGGUGGUCCCUUGGAUGGCUUCAAAGUUGAAAUUAAAGAAGAACCAAAGACAGAACCCGCAUACGACACAUUUGAAUAUUUAGACUUAAAGAAAUUCCCCCUAAAAACUGAAGUAGAACAAGAUGAAUAUAAAUUUACACCAUUUGAAGAAAAGCAAACAACCAAUGAAGAAAGUUGUUCCCAAGAGGAGAAUAAACUGAAAAUUAUGGAAACCUUACAUUCGCCUCAUAAAGAAGGCUGCCAGGUUGAAGGAAAUGUAUUAAACAAAAAUUUGAAAAUUGCGAUUGGAGACAGACCUUACAAAUGUGAAUUCUGUUUCAAGCAAUUUACUAAAGUGUCUCUUUUAAAAGUGCAUUUGCGAAUACACAGUGGAGAAAAACCUUAUAAGUGUGAAAUGUGUUUAAAGCGAUUUGUUAGAAAAGGUGAUUUGAAGAAACACGUGAGAGUUCACACUGGAGAAAAACCUCAUAAGUGUGAAAUUUGUUUGAAGCAGUUUAAUGAAGCACAUGGUUUGAAACUUCAUUUGAGAGUGCACACUGGAGAGAUGCCUUAUAAGUGUGAAAUUUGUUUUAAGCAGUUUAGUCAACAGGUUCAUUUGAAAACGCAUUUGAUGUUUCACACUGGAGAAAAACCAUAUACGUGCGAUAUUUGUUUUAAACAGUUCUCUCGGAAAGAUCAUUUGAAAACACAUUUGAGAGUGCACACUGGGGAAACACCUUAUAAGUGUGAAAUUUGCUUAAAGCAGUUUUCUAACAAAAGUCAUUUGAAAACACAUUUGAGAUUGCACACUGGGGAGAAAUCUUUCAAGUGUGAUAUUUGUUUCAAGCAAUUCAGUAGAGCAGAUAACUUGACAGUACAUUUGAGAGCGCAUACUGGUGAAAAGCGUUUCACAUGUGAAAGUUGUUUUAAGUCGUUUAGUGCAGCACAUCAUUUGAAAGAUCAUAUAAGAACCCACACUGGAGAAAAACUUUACAAGUGUGAAAUUUGUUUAAAGUUAUUUACUAGGGCAAGUUAUUUUAAAGCACAUUUGCGAACACACAGUGGAGAUAAUCCCGAGUGUGAAAUUUGUUUAAAACAAUUUACUACAAAAAGUGAUUUGAAAACACACUUGAGAUUGCACACUGGAGAAAAACCGUACCAGUGUGAAACUUGUCUUAAGCAGUUUAACCAAGCAAGUCAUUUAAAAACCCAUUUGAGACUGCACACUGGAGAAAAGCCUUACAAGUGUGAAAUUUGUUUUAAGCAGUUUUCUCGAGUAGAUAAUAUGAAACAACAUAUGGGGAUACACCGACAAAAAACCGAACAAGUGUGACCCCCUCCCCUCACACUGUUCUGUGGCACUUUUAGGCCAGUAAAAGACCGUUUUUAGUGUAAUUUUCAGGGGCAACUCCGAAUUGCAUGAACAUUUUACUACAAGUUUUACUAUAAACGUAUACAGUAAUCCCUCUUCAACCGAGGGGGUUACGUUCCGAAAAGAAAGGCGGUUGGUGAAACCGUGGUUGGCGAGGGAUCCACGAUCCAAAGAAGAAUAUGACAUAAGGUCCCAUUAAAAUGCGGGCCCGAGGCAGGUGCCUCACGGGCCUAGUGGUAAAAUAGGCCCUGGAAAUAGGAACACUAGUCAACCGUUAGAUGGCGAUAGCAGCCAUACCAGCGAACCUCACAGAGUAUAGGCAACACUUUUUUCUUUCCAAAAAAUUUCCGGUAAAAGUUAUACUAGUAAUCCUGUAGGUAGGUGGCGAUACCAGCGAAGCUCGGAGCGGAUAUGUGAACAAAACUAGCAAAUAUGUCAUAAUAAAAACUACAGUUGGUAUGAAAAUGUCAAAAUUAAUAAUAUUAACAUAUCUUUCAAGCUCGAUACAGGGGCUGAGUCUAGUGUAUUACCAUUAAAAUAUUUUACAUUGUUAAAAAUUAAAAUGUCUGAUAUAACACCAACAUCAAUGAUAAUUAUUUCAUAUGGAAAUUUUAAGUCAAAGCCUCUUGGUUAUAUUACAUUACAGUGUGAAUAUAAAAGGGUACUAAGACAUGUAAAAUUCCUAUUUGUUGAGUUAGAUUCAGAGCCUAUACUAGGGUUAAAUGACUGUUUGUCGUUUAAUAUGAUUUGUCGUAUUGAUUCAGUAAAUAAACUAUUGGAUGGUGACAUAGGUUUGCCAAAAAGUAAACAAUACUUAUUUUUGACAUUUAAAGUUAUCUUUGAGGGAUUAGGAUGUAUGCCAGGAGUGGUUGAUAUUAAGUUGAAAGCAGAUGCUCAUCCUGUAGUUCAGAUACAAAGAAAGGUACCAUUAGCACUACGUGAAAGAUUAAAGUCAACUUUUUUGAAAGAUCUUAAACAAAAAAAUAUUAUUUCAAAAGUCGAUUACCCUACUGAUUGGGUUAACUCGUUAAUGAUAGUUGAAAAACCUAAUGGUACCUUACGCUUAUGUUUGGACCCAAAACCACUCAACAAAUACAUAUGUAGAGAAUAUUAUAAUAUACCCAAAUGUGAUGAUAUUUUAGGCCGACUAGAAAGCAAAACGAUAUUCUCGGUAAUCGAUAUGAAGGAUGGAUUCUGGCAAAUUCAGCUUACUGAUAAAAGUUCAGACUUGUGUACUUUUAACACCCCUUUUGGUAGGUAUAAAUUUAACAGAGUACCAUUCGGAUUAAGUAGCAUUCCAGAAAAUUUUCAAAAAAAGAAUACAGAAAUAUUCGGUGAUAUUAAAAACGUGUGUAUAUAUUUUGAUAAUCUUAUUAUAUCAGGUUUAAAUGAACAAGAACAUGAUAUAGCAUUCAAGGAUGUACUUAAAAAGGCAUAUACUUACAAUAUUAAAUUCAGCUUUGAUAAACUAUACAGUACAAGCUUAAUGAAGUCAACUUGCUAGGGCAAAUUAUUUCAAAAAAUGGUAUUAAACCUUCACAAAAGAACAUUCAAGCUGUAUUAGCUUUAGAAACACCUACAAAUAAAAAAGAUGUACUGAGAAUCUUGGGCUUUUUAAAUUUUUUUCAAAAUUUAUACCAAACUUGUCAAAUUUAACUUAACAAGAAAUAAUAUACAAUUUAAGUGGUUAAUGGAACAUCAAAGAGAAAUGGAUGAUUUAAAAGCAUUAAUCACAAGUAAGCCAAUUUUAAGAAUGUUUGAUGAGAAAAUUCCAAUUGUAAUACAAACCGAUGCCUCUAGUAAGGGGAUCGGUUCCUUUAUGAUGCAGGACAAUCACCCUAUAUACUUCACGAUCUUUAAACAAGGCUGAAGAGAAAUAUGCUCAAAUUGAGAAAACUUUUAAGUAUCGUUUUCUCUUGUGAAAAGUUUCAUUUCUGGAUGUAUAUAUGGUCAUGAAGUUAUCAUUAAAACUGAUCGUAAACCAUUAAUUCCUAUUUUUCAAAAGAAUCUUGAUAAUGUCAGUAACAGAUUGCAAAGAAUGCUCUUAAAGCUGCAGAAAUAUAAUAUUAAAAUUGAAUUUUUCCCUGGAUGACAAAUGUAUGUAGCUGAUACAUUAAGUAGGUCUUACAUUAAACAGGAGACUCCUAUUGAUACUGAUUUAGAGUACAUAGUCCAUGCACUUUCUUUAACCUUGCCCAUUACGAAAGAAAAGAAAUUAGCAUUUCAAAAUGCAAUUAAUAGUGAUGUUUUGUUAAAAGAAGUUAAGAAUUUUUGUUUAACUGAAUGGCCUAAAAAUAAUAAAAAACUUAGCUCAGAUCUUAAAUAUUUUUAUAAUCUGAGGCAGGAUAUACUUCUGUCAGAUAACUUAAAAUUAUUGUUCCUUCUAAUUUGAGGCAAGAUAUGCUGAAAUUAAUUCACUCUGCACAUUUUGGAAUACAAAAGUGCAAGUAUAGAGCUCGUGAGAUAAUGAUUUGGCCAAACAUGUCAUCAGACAUAGAGAAUCUUGUAGCUAAUUGUGAAGUAUGUCAACUUAACAAGCCGGCUAACCAGAAAGAAACGCUUAUUAGUCAUAAAACUCCUGAGAGAGCAUGGCAAAUAUUGUUUUCAGACUUUUUUGACUAUAAAGGCAAAAGUUAUUUAUUAAUUGUUGACUCAUAUUCUCAUUGGUUAGAAAUUUUUUCAACACAAGAUAAAACUGCUAGAACAGUUAUUAAACAUUGUAAAGAUAUAUUUUCAAAGUUUGGUUGCCCAGACAUUUUUUAUUCAGAUAAUGUCCCAUACAAUAGUUUAGAAUUUAAAGAAUUUGCUAAGAGUUGGAAUUUUGAGUGUGAAUUUUCAAGCCCCCGUCAGCACUCCUCAAAUGGCUUUGCAGAAAAAUAUGUUGAUAUUUCUAAAAUAUGCUUAAAAAAUGAAACAUAUUGAUGAAUUGCCAUAUUAUUUGCUUGAAUAUAGAAAUCCUAGAUUAGGAUAUGCUCCCUCACAAAUGUUGUUAAAUCGGCUAGUAAAAACAAAACUACCAAUUUCUUCAAGUAAUUUAUUGCCAAAAAUAAUUAAUAAUGAACAAGGAACAAGUUAUUUCAAUAUUAAAUAGAAAUUCACAAAAAACCCAAGAGCUUUACAAUAAAACUGCAAGAGAUUUACCUCUUCUUAAAAAAGGGGAUAAUGUACUAUUCCAAAAAAAUAACUCUUGGAAUAAAGGAAAAAUAAUAAGUAAUGUACAUAUAAUGAUAGAUCUUAUUUAAUUAAAGAUGUAGAAGGCAAUGAAUUUAGAAGGAAUAGGAAGUUUAUUAAUAAAACAAAUUUACCUGUAAAUAUAUGUGAUAGAAAUCUGUCAGAUUUACUCUAUGAAUUUGAUAAUAAUGCAGCGGUGGGAUCACGAUCGGUAGAAUGGUAGAAUGCUGACGUCACGUUGCCUAGCAACCGUCGAUUAUCGCCUGCAAGCGUAAAUUUGGUAUCACGAUGAAUAGAAUGGUCGUUUCCAGUCGAAUUUUAUCCCCACCCUUGUAGAAUAAAAAUCCUCCUCAAACUACCACUUCUUAGCUGUAGAAAGGACGGUUAAUCUCUUUCUUUCUCAUGUUAAUAAACAAAAACAGAACCAAUAUGGCAAUAUGACAGAUAUUUAUUUUUCCCGCUUCCGUAUUUUUUGUCUUGUUUAUUGUUAUUGUUUCACUAAUAUGUUUUACAUAAUAUUUCAAUCAACGGUUUUCCUCAUAGACAUGUAAAGAAAGUUUCUCGUGGUUUUUCAUAGUGACUGUUUUUUCAAAAAUACAAUUAGUUUUUAUUUUGAGAUAACUAAUAACAGGAUAACGAAGCAACAAACCUAAAUAACAUGUUUGGCUUUCCUUUAUUUGGAGACAUCAACUUUAUUUCUUCGUGAUACUGGUACCUUAAACCUCUACAGAAUAGAAUUUUGUCUCAAAAUAGAUUGGUGAAUGUAUCUACUUACACUGUAUGUUUCUUAGAUGAAUAAAACUUUUUUCUACAUAA